UACGAAGGGGGCUAGCGUUGCUCGGAAUCACUGGGCGUAAAGCGCACGUAGGCGGAUCGUUAAGUCAGGGGUGAAAUCCUGGAGCUCAACUCCAGAACUGCCUUUGAUACUGGCGAUCUUGAGUUCGGGAGAGGUGAGUGGAACUGCGAGUGUAGAGGUGAAAUUCGUAGAUAUUCGCAAGAACACCAGUGGCGAAGGCGGCUCACUGGUCCGGUACUGACGCUGAGGUGCGAAAGCGUGGGGAGCAAACAGG
rnacentral:rRNA from 1 species